rnacentral:rRNA from 1 species
GGAAUAUUGGACAAUGGGCGCAAGCCUGAUCCAGCCAUGCCGCGUGUGUGAAGAAGGCCUUCGGGUUGUAAAGCACUUUUGUACGGGAAGAAAAGCCCUCGGUUAAUACCCGGGUGUCAUGACGGUACCGGAAGAAUAAGCACCGGCUAACUUCGUGCCAGCAGCCGAGGUAAUACGAAGGGUGCAAGCGUUACUCGGAAUUACUGGGCGUAAAGCGUGCGUAGGUGGUUUGUUAAGUCUGAUGUGAAAGCCCUGGGCUCAACCUGGGAAUUGCAUUGGAUACUGGCGGACUAGAGUGCGGUAGAGGGUGGUGGAAUUCCCGGUGUAGCAGUGAAAUGCGUAGAGAUCGGGAGGAACAUCUGUGGCGAAGGCGGCCACCUGGACCAGCACUGACACUGAGGCACGAAAGCGUGGGGAGCAAAC